UGAGGAAUAUUGGUCAAUGGACGGAAGUCUGAACCAGCCAAGCAUCGUGCAGGAAGACGUCCCUAUGGGUUGUAAACUGCUUUUAUACGGGGAUAAAGUUAGGGACGUGUCCCUAUUUGCAGGUACCGUAUGAAUAAGGACCGGCUAAUCCCGUGCCAGCAGCCGCGGUAAUACGGCAGGUCCGGGCGUUAUCCGGACUUAUUGGGUUUAAAGGGAGCGUAGGACGUAGAUUAAGUGUGUUGUGAAAUGUAGUCGCUCAUCGUCUGACUUGCAGCGCAUACUGGUUUACGUGAGUUUGCACGACGUUGGUGGUAUUAGUCCUGUAGCGGUGAGAUGAUUCGUUAUGACGAAGAACUCCGAUUGCGGCGGCAGCUUGCGGGAGCAAAACUGACGCUGCAGCUCGAAAGAACGGGUAUCGAACAAG
rnacentral:rRNA from 1 species